rnacentral:rRNA from 1 species
GCACGAAGUUAGCCGUGGCUGCUUCUGGAGGUACCGUCCAAAUGGGUUACCCCAUUCCAUCUUCCCUCCCGAAAGGGGUUUACAAUCCGAAGACCUUCAUCCCCCACGCGGCGUCGCUGCGUCAGGCUUUCGCCCAUUGCGCAAUAUUCCUUACUGCUGCCUCCCGUAGGAGUCUGGCCCGUGUCGCAGUGCCAGUGUGGCUGAUCGUCCUCUCAGACCAGCUACCCGUCGAAGCCUUGGUGAGCCGUUACCUCACCAACAAGCUGAUAGGACAUGAGCCCAUCCAAGAGCGCGAUACCCACGGUAUCGCUUUCCUCCCUGAACCGAAGUCCAAAGAGCGUACGCGGUAUUAGCUAACCUUUCGGCUAGUUAUUCCCCACUCGAGGGUAGGUUACCCAUGUAUUCCUCACCCGUUCGCCGCUUUACAAACGUAUUGCUACGUCUUCUCGCCCGACUUGCAUGUAUUAGGCGCGCCGCCAGCGUUCGUU